AUUGAACGCUGGCGGCAGGCCUAACACAUGCAAGUCGAGCGGAUGAAGGGAGCUUGCUCCUGGAUUCAGCGGCGGACGGGUGAGUAAUGCCUAGGAAUCUGCCUGGUAGUGGGGGAUAACGUCCGGAAACGGGCGCUAAUACCGCAUACGUCCUGAGGGAGAAAGUGGGGGGUCUUCGGACCUCACGCUAUCAGAUGAGCCUAGGUCGGAUUAGCUAGUUGGUGGGGUAAAGGCCUACCAAGGCGACGAUCCGUAACUGGUCUGAGAGGAUGAUCAGUCACACUGGAACUGAGACACGGUCCAGACUCCUACGGGAGGCAGCAGUGGGGAAUAUUGGACAAUGGGCGAAAGCCUUAUCCAGCCAUGCCGCGUGUGUGAAGAAGGUCUUCGGAUUGUAAAGCACUUUAAGUUGGGAGGAAGGGCAGUAAGUUAAUACCUUGCUGUUUUGACGUUACCAACAGAAUAAGCACCGGCUAACUUCGUG
rnacentral:rRNA from 1 species